GUAUAAGAGACAGCAGUAGCCGCGGUAAUACAGAGGAUGCAAGCGUUAUCCGGAAUGAUUGGGCGUAAAGCGUCUGUAGGUGGCUUUUCAAGUCCGCCAUCAAAUCCCAAGGCUCAACCCUGGACAGGCGGUGGAAAAUACCAAGCUGGAGUACGGUAGGGGCAGAGGGAAUUUCCGGUGGAGCAGUGAAAUGGGUUGAGAUCAGAAAGAACACCAACGGUGAAAGCACUCUGCUGGGCUGACACUGACACUGAGAGACGAAAGUUAGGGGAGCAAAUGGGAUUAGAUACCCGCGUAGUCCCUGUCUCUUAUAC
rnacentral:rRNA from 1 species